GGGCCGCACGCGCGCUACACUGACGGAGCCAGCGAGUUUUAUUGUUCCUUUGCCGAGAGGUAUGGGUAAUCUUGUGAAACUCCGUCGUGCUGGGGAUCGAAUGUUGCAAUUUUCAUUCGUCAACGAGGAAUUCCUAGUAAGCGCAAGUCAUCAGCUUGCGUUGAUUACGUCCC
rnacentral:rRNA from 1 species